UCUUCCCGGCGGCGCUGACAGCCAGCCCGGCCCCCGUUGCCCCCGCUCCGGCACCUGCGAGCAGCUCCGCUGGAGGCGAGGACGUGCGGAGGAGUCCGCAGAGAGCUUUCCUUCUCUCCCCCUUUCCCCACUAAUAACAGGGCACCGCUCGCAGGACGGUCGCGCCGCACGGAACAAACGUUCAUUGAUUUCCACCCCGGGCUGCGGAGGGACGUGGGGCGCCUGGGGAGCGGGCAGCCGCGCCGUGCCGCGCUCCCGGCCCUGCAACAGCGGGGGGCACGAACGGGGGAGGGACCCGACCGCAUCCCAGAUGGGAGGGUGUGCGCACAUCCGCGGGGCCGCCUGUAAGGGAAGACGUUCCUCUCCCCGAGGACGUGCCGGUGGUUCGGGGCUGCCUCCCGGACGAGCGGCGGCCGCGGGAGAUGCGGUCUGUCCCUUCCCGCGAUGCCGGGCCACCCUCAUGCAGAUCGCGCCGUGUCACCUCCCUGAUUGGCAACCACCACCCGCCUAUCCAGAAAAGUCGUCAGCCCGGUACCGCCGCUUCCCCCGUUGUCCACGGCAACCGGCGUAUCUGAUUGAACCUCGUUGUAGGCAGUGACACCCGCGUAAUGGAUCAUCCUGUCAGUGCUUUUUUAUCACAGGCAUUUAUUUUGGUCACGGCUGGUGAUAACUUUGGUGUUUAUCCCUUGUGUCGUUACGGGCCCUGCCGCGAUCUCCCUUUACGCCCUCCCUCCCCGGCGGGCGUGCUGGGUGGACAGGCGAGGACGGCGGCUCCCCCCUCCCGUCCGGGAAGCCCUGCGAGGGGUGCCCCCAUACCGCCCACUACCGCCCUGUGCUCCCGCGGCCCCGGCUGGGGACGGAUCGAUCUGUUUGGUUUGGUUCGGUUUGGUUAAGCGCCCUCCCCCGAUCGCUCCGGCCUCCCCGGGGCCGGGUUAUCUUGGGUCAUGCUGGCGCGGAGCGCCGGGUGCGGUAAGAGGCUCCGGCGGAGCCCUGGUGCAGGAGGGAGCCGGGGGAAGAGAGUGCCGUUCGCAGUCCUCCAUCAAUCCAGACACUUCAAAAGACUCGGAAGCGAUGGUGCUGCGAGCUGCCUCCUUAUCUCGCUCUUCGCUGCUAGUUAACUCCUUCCGCCAGGCCCAGCACAGGCCCUGGCUCCGUCCCCGCCCGCUCCUGAGCCGGGAUCAGCCAGAUGAUCCUCCGGCCGUCGGCUGAGUGGCAGCCGCUUCGUGGGUAGCAUUAGAGCUCGGCCACUCGGCGCUCCCGUGACCCCGCCGUGUCUCUCUCCCUCCAUCGCAGCCUCUCCGAAGCCCAGUGCCCCAUCAGCUCUCGCUGUGUGAUAUUUAAAAGAAGGGUUGCAUUCUCCCCAAUAGAAGCCCACUCGUUUCCUUGUUGCCAGGAACAAAGCGUACAUUCAGAGGGGUGGCUGUUGACGGCUCCCUCUGUAUAGCACUGGAAAGCGGGUGGCCUUUGGUUACUGGCAAGGAAAAUUCUAAUCAGGGUGCUUGUAAGCGGGGCUUUAUAGAAGCUUAGUUACAAAAGGCUUACACCAGAGUAAUGCAAUAACUAUAAUAACAGCCAGGGAGCCCUAAAGAGGGUGGAAUGUGCUUGUGUCUGGAUGAUUUUCCCCGCUCGCACAGAGAGGGACUGUUUACCGCGAGUGCCAUUAAGUAUCGCUGGAAACUCACCAACCGCAGACUUAUUUCAAUAUACUUUAUUGUUGUAUCUGCUCUAAAAGCAACUUGCUUCGGACGACUUCUAGAUCGUCCUAGGGGAGAAGAGGAGAGAGGCCACCCUCGGGUAUUGGAGGAGGCUCUGAGCACAGGGGUGGUGGCAAGGGUGAGGGAGCUGCGGGCCGGGGCCCGGCCGGGUCGGGCUGUUCGGAGCGCGUUCCGGCGGGCAGUGCCGCCGCCGAACAAAGUGGUGAGGAGAAAAGGCCCCUGAGCCCAGCGUCACAAAGCUGUCGGGCUCCUGCCCCCGUAGGUGGGUACGCAGCAACGACCCCUCCGCGGCCCUCCUCGGCUGAUUCGGCCAAUAAGGGCGUGGGGACCCCGGGGUACACGGCGGGGAAGGAGGGGAGGAACCCAGCAUCGCCCUCCCUCCACUCCGGCCGGCGUCCCGGGGCGCCCCUGGCAGCGGUGACCCCGCUGUUCCGGCUCAGCCGCUCUGGCUUGACGAGGCUAAUGGGAUCAGCCGCUGCCCUCCGCCACCGCUGCCGCGUGUUGAUUUUUCCAACCUCUCCGCCCAUCCCCGAUGCCCGCCGUCCCCCAGCCAGACCCAGCUACUGCUUGGCCGCCGGCUCGGGGCCGCAGCUCCGGAGGGCAGGAAAUGGCUUGGCCGGGGAGCCGGGGCGGUCACCCCGCCCCGCCGCGAUCCCGGCGUACGGCGGCGGUCGGCGCGGGCUGCUCCGGGAGGCGCCCCGGAACCCGCGGCGGCCACGGGCUGGACGCGUGAAGCGGGCAGAGCUCCACCACCACCACCCCCCUAUUACCAGCCUCCCCCGGCACCCCCGAGCAGACUUUGCAGCGCUUUAUUUUAAAGGAACAACAGAGAGCGGCGAGCAAACUGCUGCUCCGCGCAGGGCAAGAGAAAUGGGUUUUUAAUAGGCAAGGUCGGCGUGCUUGGCAGCCGGCCACCGCGGCCGGGGAAAUAAACAAACAGAGAAGCAGCAACUUCAGGUCGGAGCAGAAGUUGCGCUCCCGGCGAGAUGAGUCCGCGGCACGCCCCGCGGGGCGAGUGUGCAGGCGCGUCCGGAGCGGCCGCGGAGAGCAUCUCCGGCCCCCUGACCCCUCACCUCGCCGCUGCGGCGCGCCGGCCUCCCGCGGCCCCGGGACAGGAGCGGGGCCGGGGCAGGCAGCCCCCCUGCACUGCCGGGCGCGGUGCCGGUGGGCUGGCAGCGGGCGGAGGGCGGAUGGCCACCCUUGUUUAUCGCGUUCCGGCGGUGCUGCACGCCCAGCCGCUGCCGUGCGGCACGGUCGGCCCCGGGGAGGCAGGAAGGCAGAGGUGGAGGGAGCGGGAGUGGAGCCUCCCGAUCGUGAAGUGGCAAGACGGCGCUUGCCGGAGGGUUUGCAGCCAUGCUCGGGGGGCCUUCCCGCUCGCUCCACCGCCGGGGCUCGGCCGUGUCGGCCCCGCUGGCCGCACCGCGGGGGCGCCGCGCUCCCGCUCUCGCGGCGCGUUCCGGGCUCGGUGCCGAGCACUCCCGGCUGCGCUGCAUCAGCCUUCCCGCUGCCUCCCGCCGCCGCCGCCUCACUCACUGCCGGCUCCGCAGGCGGCAAGGCAGAGCUGAGCCCGCAGCCCCUCCAAGGCUCUGGUACCCUACUGGCCUUCACGUCUUCCCCGAGUAACGAGCCCGGGCAGCGAAUGGGGGGGUCUUCCCAAGCCUUUCUGCAGCGUCGGCCACACGGGGGGAGAGGCGGCCUCCGCCUGAGCAGGGGUUGUGCAGCCCCUCUGCUCACAGAGGGCUAGGAGGGGACAUCACUUUUACAUCCAGUUGCCAACAGGGCCAGAAAAGCCCCACGGCUCUCGGGGUGAGGAAGGCACUCUGCAUGCCCUCAGCAGAGGAGGACGAAAGGAGCUGUGUCAGGAGAGCCGAGAGCGAAGCCCAAGCCUGGGGAAGCUGGACGAGAGCUCGAGAAGAGCGCGGCCACACUCGCCCCGGCGGUCACAGACCUUUCUAUCGCGGCGUGGCGGUGGCAGGAGAGGAGCUCUUGCUGCUGCCAUGGUUCCCACCGUAGCACGGCCCGAGCUGGGGCCUCGGUACGCCAGGAGGAGGAACGGGAGCGAGCCGCGCCCCUCGAGUUUCCGCGGAGCUGCGGCCUGGGCUCCCAGGGGUGCGACACCGCCACCAUCAUCUUUCGGCCACAUCACGGCAGAGGGGAGAACCCCCCCGGCCCCGCCACCCCGCGCCACUCCUCGCAGCUGGAGACAGCGGGGGCUGCGACCGGGACGGGCUCUGGGCAGGGCGGCUGCCGCUGCCAGCGGCGCUGCCGCUCCUCACCGCCCGGGCAGCUGCCAGAUUUUUGGCAGAUCGCUCUGCAGACGGCUCCCAAAGACUCCUGCGAGGGCUGAGACGGGUCACGGGGAAUAGUGCGAUAGGCCGGGCUAAAGCAUGGCAGAGUCUAGCUAGGGCGAGCGGGGACCGGCCAGGGUGGAGAAAUGGGAGAGGUGCAAAGGCCCGGGAGGGGUGACAGGCAAUGCCAGCCUGCAAAAUGCUGAGUUGGCAGCAUGCCGAGAAGCUGGGGAGCACUGCAGUCCCGACAGCCAGGGAAGGGGACAUGAAGAAGCAGCGUGAAUGGGGUAAAGACUGUUUCUUACAGACCUGGUGUGACCUAUCGUUAAAAAAAUCUGGCUUCCCCUUCUAGUGCCACGCUGUACCUGCAGGGUAGUCUCUGCCUUUCUGUCUCUCGUCCCAUUAUUCCACUACAGUCGAAUCCUUCUGUUGUGACCUACAGCAGCGCUCUGAUUUAUUUUUAAUGCGUUCCGAUUCCUGUUCCGUUGUCAAGAGAUGCAUUGAGAUUCAUUUUCCAUCCCCUGCUUUUCAUACUUCUGUUCUGCUGGAGGGACCCGCCAAUAGAGUUUAAUUCGAUUUGAUAUGAUUUAAUGAACACCUUUAUCUUUUGUUUUUAGCAGAAGGAUAAAUAAUACAACUGCAUUCAGCUUUUGCUAAAUCAGACAUGUUUCCCACCAAAAUCCUAUCUAGUGACAUAUACUCACUGUAACAUUUCAUUAACAACCUCCCUGAUUUAUUGAUUUUUAAUAUUUGUAUUAAAUGUUGUGUAAAAUUGAACUCAGGCGUUAGAAGAGAUUGUGCAAGUCACAAGA